rnacentral:tRNA from 1 species
GCGAUCGAUCGCCCGGCUUUCGAAGCCGGGCUUGAAAUGCUCGCGAGGGGCGGAGACUUCGCCGACGGCUGCGUGCUGUUCGAGGCCAAGCGCGC